rnacentral:lncRNA from 1 species
CCAGAUUCAUUUUCAACGUGAAGCCUGCAGGACUUUAGCCCGGAUACAUUUCCAGCACGAAGCCUGUGGGACUUUAGCCUGGAUACAUUUCUAGUGUCUUGCAUAUUUAUUCACAUGUAAACACAUUUCACAUAACAUAUCACAUUAGCAAUUCAAUUGCUUCAUUCGAAUAUAAGCACAAAAUGUACACCUACCCUUUAACUUUCGGUUCAAUAAUCAUACACAAGGAACACAUAAUCUUUUCACUAUCCCAGUUUCACUUUUAAUAACCAUUCGGCUAUAGGCCAUAUUCACAAAUUAUUUCACACACAACCUCGAUCAAGCAGGAACAAUAGUCACAAUUCAUCUAUUAUACAAAUAUCCCAUUCUUUGACUUUGUUUCAUAAUAGCUAUUCGGUCACCACAUAUAUACCAUUCAAUUCACAUUCGAAUUUAUACAAACAAGUACAAUAAAAGUGUAUACAUAUUACACACUUGCACAUCAUCACUUAAUAGUCAUUCGGCCACAUUAUAUACAUAAAUCAUCCAUUUCAUAUUCGGCUUUAUAGCCUAAAUACAAUAUACUUAUUGCAAAUCGAACUUGUAAAGGUCAAAUAAUUACUUAUCAUUUUAUAUAAUCUUAAGCGCGUAACAAAUCAAAUUUAAUUACUUAAGGACUUACCUCGGACAACGAUAAUCGGAACGAGACGACUAAUCGACCACUUUAAUUUCCCCCCCGAUCCAAAUCCGAAUUCCACUUUUGCCAAUCUAAUUAAUAUCAAAAUUAACUCACUUAUUCAACAUUUCAUUAAAUUUUAUCUAAAGGCACAUAAUUUGGGCAUUGCAUUUUAUCCCCUAACAUUUUACAUUUUUACAAUUUAAUCCCUAUUUCAAAAUAACACAAAUUACUCAAAAUUUCAUCAAACCCCUGUUAGGCCGAAUUUACCUUAGGUCUCUAGUAACCCAUAUCUUUUAUUUAUUUCACGUUUUGACCCAUUAAUUUACAAAUUUCUAAAUUUAGUCCUUAAUACACAUUUUUAUCAAAAAAAUCACUUAAUUAAACAUGAAAAUCAAACAUCAAAGAUUUAUUAAUCAUCAUCAAACAACAAUUUCAUCACAUAAUAAACAAUGGAAAAUCUCAAAUUCUUCAUUAAAUCCAAAAAUUAAGGCAUGAGUUUACUAGUACUCGAAGCAACGAUCUCAAAAACGUAAAAAUUAUAAAAAACCGAGUAAAACACAUACCCGAAAUAAGCUUUCAUAGUGCCAAAUAUUCAAAGCUUCCAAACUCAUCUUUUUCUUUUCACAUUCGGCUAUGG